rnacentral:rRNA from 1 species
GACGAACGCUGGCGGCGUGCCUAAUACAUGCAGGUCGAACGCUGAAGGAGGAGCUUGCUUCUCUGGAUGAGUUGCGAACGGGUGAGUAACGCGUAGGUAACCUGCCUGGUAGCGGGGGAUAACUAUUGGAAACGAUAGCUAAUACCGCAUAAUAUUGACUAUUGCAUGAUAGUCAGUUGAAAGGUGCAACUGCACCACUACCAGAUGGACCUGCGUUGUAUUAGCUAGUUGGUGGGGUAACGGCUCACCAAGGCGACGAUACAUAGCCGACCUGAGAGGGUGAUCGGCCACACUGGGACUGAGACACGGCCCAGACUCCUACGGGAGGCAGCAGUAGGGAAUCUUCGGCAAUGGACGGAAGUCUGACCGAGCAACGCCGCGUGAGUGAAGAAGGGUUUCGGAUCGUAAAGCUCUGUUGUAAGAGAAGAACGAGUGUGAGAGUGGAAAGCUCACACUGUGACGGUAUCUUACCAGAAAGGGACGGCUAACUACGUG